rnacentral:lncRNA from 1 species
UGCUGUACAGACUACCACCGGCUGGCUGGUCCGCUCUGGGUAAAACCAAGCUGCACAGACGAACCAGGACCUGCCUGCCAGGAGGAGGAAAGGAUUUCUGGAAGAGAUGGGGAAAUCUUUUAAGGAGAGGGUGAUGGAAUCAGGGUGUGGCUUACAAGGUCAGCAAGGAGGGGGCAGCCCAACAUUCCAAGUUGGAAGUGGCAUUUGGACAGGCAGAUCAUGACUCCUCCGAGCUCCCUAGCGUCUGGGUUCUACCUGUUUCCAGACACCAGUGGAAAAUAACUGAAAAUCUGGUUGCAAAGAUUUUGAGCUGACAUGUCACACACUUGCAGUCCCUCCUGAGAUAUGGGAAGAUUCGUCCCAGUGAAAGAAUUGUGACGGUGAAGAGGGUAAAGUCUCCCCUGGUAGACUGAGAGACAAGAUGCUGUGAGACUGGAGCAAGGCCACUGGGAAGGAGGGAGCCUGCUCUGGGAUGGGACAGCCAAACAAUCCAGUAGCUUGCUUUUAUGUCUAUAAAUAAGAAUAUACCCAUGUUCUUACCAAGAGCAUCUUUAUCCGUUUCAGGGGUGACUCUUAGUGAGUUGAUGUCCUGUCUCUCUAUUGCAAGCAAGAAGUUUUAGGAGAAGUGACUUCACCUGUCCCAGGCAGAUGCCCCCAGAGAAACUGAGCUCAGAGGAAGCAGGGAAGGAGACCCACAGGUGCCCUUGGACACACCUAC